rnacentral:rRNA from 1 species
GAAGGUGGCCUGUGAGGGUUGCUGGAGGUAUCAGAAGUGCGAAUGCUGACAUAAGUAACGAUAAAGCGGGUGAAAAGCCCGCUCGCCGGAAGACCAAGGGUUCCUGUCCAACGUUAAUCGGGGCAGGGUGAGUCGACCCCUAAGGCGAGGCCGAAAGGCGUAGUCGAUGGGAAACGGGUUAAUAUUCCCGUACUUGGUGUUACUGCGAAGGGGGGACGGAGAAGGCUAUGUUGGCCGGGCGACGGUUGUCCCGGUUUAAGCGUGUAGGUGUGUGUUCCAGGUAAAUCCGGUUCACUUUAACACUGAGGCGUGACGACGAGGCACUACGGUGCUGAAGCAACAAAUGCCCUGCUUCCAGGAAAAGCCUCUAAGCAUCAGGUAACAUCAAAUCGUACCCCAAACCGACACAGGUGGUCAGGUAGAGAAUACCAAGGCGCUUGAGAGAACUCGGGUGAAGGAACUAGGCAAAAUGGUGCCGUAACUUCGGGAGAAGGCACGCUGACAUGUAGGUGAAGUGAUUUACUCAUGGAGCUGAAGUCAGUCGAAGAUACCAGCUGGCUGCAACUGUUUAUUAAAAACACAGCACUGUGCAAACACGAAAGUGGACGUAUACGGUGUGACGCCUGCCCGGUGCCGGAAGGUUAAUUGAUGGGGUCAGCGCAAGCGAAGCUCCUGAUCGAAGCCCCGGUAAACGGCGGCCGUAACUAUAACGGUCCUAAGGUAGCGAAAUUCCUUGUCGGGUAAGUUCCGACCUGCACGAAUGGCGUAAUGAUGGCCAGGCUGUCUCCACCCGAGACUCAGUGAAAUUGAACUCGCUGUGAAGAUGCAGUGUACCCGCGGCAAGACGGAAAGACCCCGUGAACCUUUACUAUAGCUUGACACUGAACAUUGAGCCUUGAUGUGUAGGAUAGGUGGGAGGCUUUGAAGUGUGGACGCCAGUCUGCAUGGAGCCGACCUUGAAAUACCACCCUUUAAUGUUUGAUGUUCUAACGUGGACCCGUGAUCCGGGUUGCGGACAGUGUCUGGUGGGUAGUUUGACUGGGGCGGUCUCCUCCUAAAGAGUAACGGAGGAGCACGAAGGUUGGCUAAUCCUGGUCGGACAUCAGGAGGUUAGUGCAAUGGCAUAAGCCAGCUUGACUGCGAGCGUGACGGCGCGAGCAGGUGCGAAAGCAGGUCAUAGUGAUCCGGUGGUUCUGAAUGGAAGGGCCAUCGCUCAACGGAUAAAAGGUACUCCGGGGAUAACAGGCUGAUACCGCCCAAGAGUUCAUAUCGACGGCGGUGUUUGGCACCUCGAUGUCGGCUCAUCACAUCCUGGGGCUGAAGUAGGUCCCAAGGGUAUGGCUGUUCGCCAUUUAAAGUGGUACGCGAGCUGGGUUUAGAACGUCGUGAGACAGUUCGGUCCCUAUCUGCCGUGGGCG